AACCUACGGGGGGCAGCAGUAGGGAAUUUUCGUCAAUGGGGGGAACCCUGAACGAGCAAUGCCGCGUGAGUGAAGAAGGCCUUCGGGUCGUAAAGCUCUGUUGUAAGAGAAAAACGGUAAUGAUAGGGAAUGAUCAUUAAGUGAUGGUAUCUUACGAGGAAGCCACGGCUAACUACGUGCCAGCAGCCGCGGUAAUACGGAGGAUGCGAGCGUUAUCCGGAUUUAUUGGGUUUAAAGGGUGCGUAGGCGGGCUGUUAAGUCAGCGGUCAAAUGUCGGGGCUCAACCCCGGCCUGCCGUUGAAACU
rnacentral:rRNA from 1 species